CAGUAGCGUAUAUUAAAGUUGCUGCAGUUAAAAAGCUCGUAGUUGGAUUUCUGACUAUUGUGAACCUGAUCCGCCACCGUUUUAAGGUGUGUGAGUAUUGGUGUUUGCUAGUCAUCCAUGGAGUGUGGGUGUCUACCCUUAAUUGGGCCGGGCAUCAUCAUACUUCAUCGUUUACUUUGAAAAAAUUAGAGUGUUCAAAGCAGGCAUUAUUGCUGUGAAUACAUUAGCAUGGAAUAAUAAGAUAGGACUUUGGUGCUAUUUUGUUGGUUUUCAGUACUGAAGUAAUGAUUGAUAGGAUAAGUUGGGGGUGCUAGUAUUCAAUGGCCAGAGGUGAAAUUCUUGGAUUCAUUGAAGACUAACUGAUGCGAAAGCGUUCGCCAAGUCUUUUUCCUUUAA
rnacentral:rRNA from 1 species